GGCAGUAAGAAGGAUUUCUUCACGGGCAGGGUGGUUUGGCAUUGGAAUGGGCUGCCCGGGGCGGCGGUGGAGUCACUGCCCACAGAGGUGUUUCAGGGAAGACUGGAGGUUUCACUCGGUGCCCCGGUCUGACUGACCCGGUGCUCGGUCAUAGGCUGGACACGAUGAUCCCAGAGGACUUUUCCAGCCUAAUCGGUUCUGUGAUUCUGUUAAGUAUUUCUGAUUUGUGGAGUGUACCGUGAGUUAAAGCAUCUCCACCCAUGGCAUUCCACCCCAGGUUCAUGGCCACGUUCAGGUCUGGGGAGGUGCCGGGGCCCUGGGAAGCGCGCAGGUGCCAGAGGGCAGGCAUUGCUCCUCAGCUGGGCUCUGAUUUCUGUCUUGGCCGACUAUUUUCCCUGUUUUUUCCUGCAGACACUUCCCAGCAGUGCUUGGUCUUCCGUGUGCACUGUGGUGACACCCAGUUAUGGUGGAAACCCCGGUGACCCUGCCUGCCAUAAAUACCUCCCAGCUCCCAGCAGGCAAAUCACCACCCUGGUUUUUGCUUUCUCUUUGGUCUUUAAAUCAGCUCUGUAUGGCCUUGCGAUACGUGCUUGUGUAUAAAAUCGUACGUAACGCAUCCCCGAAUCCUCACACCCACGUGGAGUCAAACUGCAGGCCAGUCAAACAGAGCAGUGCCCUGUUGCCAUGAGGACAGGGAUGUGGGGAUUGGCAGGGUGCUGCUGAAUUCCAGUCUCAAAAGGCGGAUGGGUGCAGCCUUGCCUGGGAUGGGCAGGGUGGUCUUCAUCCCUCCUGGCUGAAGCUCCAUCCACUUCAUUUAUUGCCAAUGAACUGAUUUGUUUGAGCUGAGAAGGGUCAACAGAUAAAGGAAAUCUGUGUGUUUAUGGGGAAAAGACAGUGCAGAUGCCAAGAAAAUAUGGCUGGGAGGCAACUGGAAAGCCAAGGGACAGUGAGUGACUGGCAGCAGUCAGAGGCCACCUCUGGGCCCCCUUGGGUGGGGCACGGUUGCACCUGAGCCCUUCCGGCUCCUGUUUGUCCAGCGAGUGCAGCAGCUGCCCGGCACAUUCCCGGCUGCUCCGGAGCUUUGUUUCCUGACCAACACCCGUUUGCAGUAUUUCCCAAACAAGCGGAGGCUCAUCACCAUCGCUCCCACUCCCUCUUCCCCGUCCAAUUGUCCCUGCGGGCUGGGGAGCAGCCGAGUUCAAACAAUCCGUGCUCGGGCAUCGGCCGGGCAGGACGUGAAGCAUUAACGAGUUUAAUAGCAGCAAACAGAUAAAAGGUUUCAAAGGGCAUCAUUAAAAAAUAUCCCUGUGGCACAGGUCUGUGGUACCCCAGGGCUUCAACAUGAGGUGCAGAAAGCUGUGACUGCCUUCUUCUGAAAUCCUUCCCAAUUGUUAAAAAAAUUAUAAAAAUCCACAUUUAAUUUCAUUUUCGUUUAGUUUAGUUUAAGAAACAGGGUUCUCCCUGCCUAUGCUGUGCUCACACAGCCAUUGUUCAACUCCACAUGGUUCAA